UACGCAAAACAGAUGGUGUGAAAACGACGUCGUUUAGGUUAGCUUCUUUAACACUAAAACCCUAACGCGGGCUCCUAGAUCUACAAAUUUGCGUCUCCGCAUCGAUCAGCGCUCUGUACUUCCAGAAUCCUACAAAUUUGGGAUGAAUCAACUUGUUGAAGCUGCAGCCUUAAUUUCAUCCACAAACCAUCAUCCUUGCUCUAAUUGACUGUUUCAAGCUUAGAAAGUUGUCACACUGGUUUUCUGGGAUAUGAUUAUCAGUAACUCUUAAUAACUAUUCUCCAAGAGAAGUAGGGCAGGCAGAAUGGUACGAGUUUCAAAGAAGAAUGAAAAUGGUGGAGUAUCUGAACUGAAUCCAGAAGCUGAAGAGCGUAAAAGACGAAAAAAAUUGGCGUUCUCCAAGAACUUACUGUCAGAUACUCCUUCAAAAGCGUUUUCAGCUCUGAGCCCUUCAAAAACAGUGAUCAAACACCAUGGAAAAGAUAUUCUGAAGAAAUCUCAGAGGAAGAAUCGGUUCCUCUUCUCAUUCCCAGGUCUUCUUGCUCCUAUUGCUGGUGGCAAGAUUGGUGAACUCAAGGAUUUGGGAACCAAGAAUCCUAUACUCUACCUUGAUUUCCCUCAGGGUCAAAUGAAGUUGUUUGGGACUAUAGUUUACCCGAAGAACAGGUAUUUGACUCUGCAUUUCUCUAGAGGCGGAAAAAAUGUAAUGUGUGAGGAUUACUUUGAUAAUAUGAUUGUAUUUUCUGAUGCAUGGUGGAUUGGGAGAAAGGAGGAGAAUCCAGAAGAAGCCCGACUCGAGUUUCCUAAAGAACUGAGUGAAGGACAAAGUGUUGAAUACGACUUUAAAGGGGGUGCAGGCAUGGCAUCUGACAGUAAGCAAGGUGUUAAUAAACCUGAAAUGAAAUAUGUAGAACCGCAGUCACCUAAACCUGAGCUAGAAGAUGAUUUGUCUGGUGAAGACAGUUUGAAAGAUGUGGUUGAAAUGACACCGAAAGAUGUUGAAGUGACACCAGUUCGACAUUCACAGAGAACUGCAGGAAAAACAUUCAAUUUUGCAGAAGCUUCUUCUGGAGAUGAUUCUGUUGAAAAUGAUGGCAACAUAUCUGAUGGACAAGAAAAUUCUGGCUCUGCAACACCUGAAAGUGGCAAUGAAGAUGCUGAAGCAAGGACUGGAGCAACCACACAAAUUCAAGAGUCUGCUGGGGCAGCUACCAAGUCAAGGAAACGACUAUCUCAAGCUACUAUAUCCACAUUGUUUAAGAAAGUGGAGGAACAGAAAACAUCCAGAACUCCAAGGAAAUCCUCAUCAGCCAAAGCUUCUGCUCAGAAGACUGAUUCCAGGAAAGCUCCGGAACACGGGAAAAAAAGAAAAGUAAUUGAGGAAACAAAAUCUGAGAUAGACAUCUCAACAGAAAGUGAACAAUCUGAUGAGGAAAAGAAAACAUCUAGAACCCCAAGGAAAUCGUCAUCAACCAAAGUUUCUGCCCGGAAGACUGAUGCCAGGAAAGCCCAGGGACCCAGGAAAAGGAGAAAAGUAAUCGAGGAAACAAAAUCUGAGAUAGACAUCUCAACAGAAGGCGAGCAAUCUGAUAAUCCGACCUCUGAUGCUUCUGUUAGAGUGUACAAGAGAAAGAUGAAAAGCCCUGCAGCUUAAACAGCAUUGGCCCAAUGACUUGACUAGUGAGUCCAACUCCAGCUUCAAAGAUUUCUCUUCCAUUGAUCUUCAGAAUCCCACCCAACUCCACGCAGCCGACUGGGUUGUGAUGACUCGUCAACCACAAGAUGGAGAAAGAAUGUAUGGAAACUACUAGAUGUAGGGAGUGCAGACACGAAGCAUGGCCAGUUGGAGUUAAUUGUUUAUUCUGACCCAACAUAUCCCAGACAUUUGAAAGGGCCCGAGCCAAGAGUGUAGACUGUAGAACACAACCCCACCGGUUGUAGCUCUGUAAGUGUUUUAUUCGACAUCUUCUUUUAUCAAUUCAAUUAUUUGUUCUAUGUACGAACCUCUACAAAACUGAGCUCAUUGCUUUUAAAAUACUGAACCUGGAGAGCAAAAAUUGGAAUAAGGGUAGUUCAGACUUCAGAGGAGUCAUUCUCUGCUAUUAAAUUGCCAGCAUACCCUCUACUUUUCAGUACUGGAAAUUGAGCUCAGUAGAACUGUAAGUGCUUUAAAAGUCUUAUUCUAUAAUUUAAUGGUUGGGAACUUGGGAUUGGAUGGGGUGCGUGGUA